CCCUUCUCAGGAUUGCACAUGGAGAGUUUCCAAUACUCUCCCAGUCUCCACUACAGGACGGAGGGUCAAGCAGAGGCAUACUCAUUCCAUUCCCAGCUUGGGCAGUGGCUAGUGAGUGGAAGGCAAUCUGCAACAAGU